UCAGAAUCAUAUAAAGAAAUAAAAGUUGAAACAAAGAUUUCGAAACUCAGUCGAGCAGUAGAUGAAAAAACUUCAGAAACUCGAAUAGUUCCAAAGAAAUUAGGGUUUUGAAACCAAAAACGUUUAGAGAUGAGGAACAAGUAAAACACAUAGCAAAUAAUCUCAGAACUCGAUAGAACCCCCAAACUUAAGGGUUUUUACCAUCAGUCGAGUUCUAGAUAUGAAAAGCAAGUAAAUCUAACAAAAACAAAUUCAAAAAAUCUCAAAAAGGAACUAAUACCUUUAACAUGCACAUUUCUGUUAGAAAAACGAUAUAAAGAAAAACAAUAGAAGAGCAACAUAAAAAACAUAAUAGAAGAACAACAUAAAAAAGCAUAGUAGAACAUGUUAAAAAAAUCAAAAAAACUUCAAAAUAAUUUUAAAAACCCUAAAUAAGAAAAGAUAAAGGUUCUGAAGCUAAAGCUUUGAAAGAAACCUUGAGAACACGUUUAGGAGCUUAGAGAAAACAUAGAUUUAAAACAUAUCUAAAAAAUCAGAAAAACCUCAAAGGUUAGGGUUUCAGAAGAACCUCGAUGGUGAGAAAGGCUUGGAAAGUCAUUGAUCUAAGCAGGAGAAGUCAAGAUCAGGCUUGAAUAGCCAUGGCUGGCUGGAGGCAAGGUCGAAGAUGACCGGAGACAGCAUAGCACUGAAAUAGACCAAGGUCUGGACCAAACUUCCUCUAGGUCUAGUCUUGAAAACAUGAUAAUCAAGCAGGUAGAAGUUAUAGGAGGCAGGUACAGGCCGAUCGAUUUGGGUGGUGGUUGAAGAUGGCGGCCAGGGUUUGAGAGGGAGUUUGAGAGAGAAUUAGGAGAGAAGGGGGGCUUAGAAG
rnacentral:lncRNA from 1 species